GUCCGGAUCCGCGCCCGGCCCGGUUCUCCGCGCCGCGUCUCCCGGACGGGUAAACUGAGGCCUGGAGAGGGCUCGGGCCUGGAGAGGGCUCGGAGCUCGGGUUCGAGUCCCGCCGCCGGUCACCCACUCCGAGGCGGCGCGGGGGCCCGUGGGCGAGACGGCGGAGCCAAGAGCGGUCAGGUCUCGGCCCCACAGCCCAGCUGACGCAGAGCGGGCGCUCUGGGGCUCGAGUCCCCGCCCCUUUGCUGACCAGCUGUGUGAUGGAUGACCUUGAGCAAGUGACUUCGCUCCUCUCCUUGAGGGCCCUCAUCUCUCACGUGAUAGUACUUGAUCCAAGGGGCUGCUGUGAGGUUAAGUUAAUGUUUGUAAAGCCCAUGGGACCGUGCAGGGACCUGAGAGUGAAAUGGUUAGAAGGUCUCUCAGACCUCUAACAUGCCCCAAAUCUGUCUGCCAGCUUUACAAGGAAGAUCCUUCAUGAGGUUCAUCUGAGUUCCUGUGGUGGAGAGACCGACCCAUCUUGCUGGUGUCUCUCUCUAAGUCCCUGGUUGGCCCUGAAGAAGCAGGCUGCCAUCUUAUGGGAUGCCGACGUUGGGAGGCGCCCGUGGCAAGGAACUACAGGCGACUCUAGCUGCUGAGGGCAGCCUCUGACCAACAGCCGACAGGAAAGUGAAGGUCUCAGUUGUACAGCUGCAAGGAACUGAAGCCUGUUAAUGACCUGAGUGAGGAGACAGACGCUUCCCUAAUUGGGCCUCUGAUGAUACUGCAGCCCUGGCUGACUCCUCGGCUGCAGAUUUGUGAGACUCUAGGUGGACGGCUCAACUAAGCUACACUGGAUUCCUGAAUCUGUGAGCUCAUCAAGAUGUGUUUUGUUUUUUUUUUAAAAGAUUUUAUUUAUUUAUUUGAGAGAGAGAGAAUGAGAGAGAGCACAUGAG